AUGACCCCAGGUCAGUCGGGACUACCC
rnacentral:rRNA from 2 species